CCCCUGGUAGUUCAGUGGUCAGAACUCUGCACUUUCACUGCUGAGGUUACAGGGUUAAAUCCCUGGUCAGGUUA
rnacentral:tRNA from 1 species